UUUUUCUGAUCUCAUCAUCAAAAGACCUAACCCUUUCUUUUUCUUCAACAGUACUCUCUCUCUCUCUCUCCCCCUCAAAACCCUACCCAUCUACCGACGACGACUUUCUCAUCAUCUGACGAUCUUCUCCAUCGGCGAUCGAAGAUCUGCUUUUUUUAUUUUUUGCUUCCUUUUCUGAGAAUCUCAAAUUAAAACCCUAACGGUUAGGGCCUACCCCUUUCUUCGACUGAAAGAGGUUUGCUGAUCAUGGUGGUGUUCUGAAAGCAAAGGGAUAGUGAGAUUAGAGUGAGGGUUCUACACACAUAGAGAGAGAAGCUUACAGAGAGUUCGAAAACCAGAGGUUUGUGAUUUUGAUUUUAUAUAUGUGUUUGUGAUUUUAUAUCUAUGUCUGUGUGAUUUCUAUCUGUGUCUGUCUGUGAUUUUAUACCUGUGUUUUCUCUUCUUCUCUCAUCUUCUUCUCUUCUCCUCAUUCUCUUCUCCUGUUCUCUGGUAUGUUUCUCUGGUAUGUCACUCCACACUCUGGUUCGUCACUUGUUCUCUGGUAUUCAUUAGGUAAUGUUUAUUGGUUGAUGAAUUUUGUAAUCAUAUCCAGUAUAUUGGUUGAUACUCCACACAAAUUGUUGAUUACAAACUGGUUGAAACACAAAUGGUUAGGCCAUGCUCUGUUGCAUACUUUGUAAUUUAUAUGGCCAAGCUAUGAAACACAAUACCCAUUUGUUGAAUAUUUUGCUCUAGAUCUAUUAAUGGGCAGUGAUGGUAUGUUAAUGUAUAUGCAUUCCCAUUUACCUCUUAAAUUGAUUUAUGGUAUGUUAAUGACCUGAGCAAUUUGUGUUAUAAACUGAUUUAGAACUGCUUGGGAAAUGAACGCUUUAGGAACUACUUGGGAAAUGAAUGAUUUAGGAUCAUAUUUAUCAAUUUGUGUUACCCAAUUUCUUACUUUUUCAUAUUUAUCAUCUUUUUUAUGUAUUAGUCCUUCAUGUAUUAGCCCUUCUCUCUGCUUUCAAAUCUGAUUUGUAUUACUUUUUCAUGUAUUACUGCUGUAGACCAUGGAUUGAAAUAAACCAUGUUGUAGUCCUUCAUGUAUUUUUUAGUCCUUGCUGCAGUCCUUCAUGUAUCAAUUUGGUGUUAGGGAAAAAUAGCAGGUUUCAUAGAUGUUGAAUUAUGCACAAUAUUUUUCAAGUUUCAUAGAUAUGAAUGAAUAAAUAUUUUGAA